AUUGAACGCUGGCGGCAGGCUUAACACAUGCAAGUCGAGCGGAGCGGCGGACGGGUGCGUAAUGGCUAGGAAUCUGCCCGGUCGUGGGGGCUAACGUCCGGAAACGGGCGCUAAUACCGCUUACUAUCAGAUGAGACUAGGUCGGAUUAGGUAGUUGGUGGGGUAAAGGCCUACCAAGGCAACGACCCGUAACUGGUGUGAGAGGAUGAUCAGUCACACUGGAACUGAGACACGGCCCAGACUCCUACGGGAGGCAGCAGUGGGGAAUAUUGGACAAUGGGCGAAAGCCUGAUCCAGCCAUGCCGCGUGUGUGAAGAAGGUCUUCGGAUUGUAAAGCACUUUAGGUUGGGAGGCGUUACCAACAGAAUAAGCACCGGCUAACUUCGUGCCAGCCGCCGCGGUAAUUC
rnacentral:rRNA from 1 species